GUGGGGAAUAUUGGACAAUGGGCGCAAGCCUGAUCCAGCCAUGCCGCGUGAGUGAUGAAGGCCUUCGGGUUGUAAAGCUCUUUAGCCGAUGAUUAUAAUGACUGUAGUCGGAAAAUAAGCCCCGGCUAACUUCGUGCCAGCAGCCGCGGUAAUACGAAGGGGGCGAGCGUUAUUCGGAAUCACUGGGCGUAAAGCGUGCGUAGGCGGCUUUGCAAGUUGGGAGUGAAAGCCCAGGGCUCAACCCUGGAAUUGCUCUCAAAACUGCAAGGCUCGAAUUCGGGAGAGGAUAGCGGAAUUGUCAGUGUAGCAGUGAAAUGCGUAGAUAUUGACAGGAACACCAGUGGCGUAAGCGGCUAUCUGGACCGAUAUUGACGCUGAGGCACGAAAGCGUGGGGAUCAAACAGGAUUAGAAACCCGUGUAGUCC
rnacentral:rRNA from 1 species